rnacentral:rRNA from 1 species
AUUGAACGCUGGCGGCAGGCCUAACACAUGCAAGUCGAGCGGGGUUUUCGGACCUAGCGGCGGACGGGUGAGUAAUGCGUAGGAAGCUGCCCGAUAGAGGGGGAUACCAGUUGGAAACGACUGUUAAUACCGCAUAAUGUCUACGGACCAAAGUGUGGGACCUUCGGGCCACAUGCUAUCGGAUGCGCCUACGUGGGAUUAGCUAGUUGGGGAGGUAAUGGCUCACCAAGGCGACGAUCUCUAGCUGGUUUGAGAGGAUGAUCAGCCACACUGGAACUGAGACACGGUCCAGACUCCUACGGGAGGCAGCAGUGGGGAAUAUUGGACAAUGGGCGCAAGCCUGAUCCAGCCAUGCCGCGUGUGUGAAGAAGGCCUUCGGGUUGUAAAGCACUUUCAGCGAGGAGGAAGGGGUUGUAGUUAAUAGCUGCAACCUUUGACGUUACUCGCAGAAGAAGCACCGGCUAACUCUGUGCCAGCCGCCGCAGUAAGAC